UGCAAAUGACAACCCUGCUGCUGGGGAAAGCAGACGGAGAAUGGAGAACACAACUUCAUCUUGAGGGCUUUUCCUUAGGAGAAGCCACUCCAGUGCUUGUGCUCUUGAACUUCUGAGGUGAUUGAAAAUUGCAUUCUUAGAAAUGAGAAGAGGAAUUUAAAAAGUCCGAAGACUACUCAGUUCAAAAUAACUCCUGUUUUUGAGAGCCUGGACUUUGACUUGGGAACCCUUCAAAGCACCACGAGCCAUGUCGUCUGGCUGGAAAAGUGGAUUGUUUGGCCAGGUCAGGUUAUAUCAAACAAGUUCUUGAGCAUGUCAGAGCAACCACACCUCCUGGCUCUUCAGAUGCAGG